rnacentral:rRNA from 1 species
CCUACGGGUGGCUGCAGUAGGGAAUAUUGCUCAAUGGGGGAAACCCUGAAGCAGCAACGCCGCGUGGAGGAUGAAGGUUUUCGGAUUGUAAAGCUCUAUCAGCAGGGAAGAUAAUGACGGUACCUGACUAAGAAGCCCCGGCUAACUACGUGCCAGCAGCCGCGGUAAUACGUAGGGGGCAAGCGUUAUCCGGAUUUACUGGGUGUAAAGGGAGCGUAGGUGGCAGGGCAAGUCAGAUGUGAAAACCCGGGGCUCAACCCCGGGAGUGCAUUUGAAACUGUCCAGCUGGAGUGCAGGAGAGGUAAGCGGAAUUCCUAGUGUAGCGGUGAAAUGCAUAGAUAUUAGGAGGAACACCAGUGGCGAAGGCGGCUUACUGGACUGUAACUGACACUGAGGCUCGAAAGCGUGGGGAGCAAACAGGAUUAGAUACCCUUGUAGUC